UACACGACCGUACCGCAAACCGACACUGGUGCGCGAGAUGAGUAUUCUAAGGCGCUUGAGAGAACUCAGGAGAAGGAACUCGGCAAAUUGACACCGUAACUUCGGAAGAAGGUGUGCCUUUAGUAGGUGAAGUCCCUCGCGGAUGGAGCCCAAUGAGGUUGCAAAAAAUCGGUGGCUGCGACUGUUUAUUAAAAACACAGCACUCUGCAAACACGAAAGUGGACGUAUAGGGUGUGACGCCUGCCCGGUGCUGGAAGAUUAAAUGAUGGGGUGCAAGCUCUUGAUUGAAGUCCCAGUAAACGGCGGCCGUAACAAUAACGGUCCUAAGGUAGCGAAAUUCCUUGUCGGGUAAGUUCCGACCUGCACGAAUGGCGUAACGAUGGCCACACUGUCUCCUCCUGAGACUCAGCGAAGUUGAAAUGUUUGUGAUGAUGCAAUCUCCCCGCGGAAAGACGGAAAGACCCCAUGAACCUUUACUGUAGCUUUGUAUUGGACUUUGAACAGAUCUGUGUAGGAUAGGUGGGAGGCUUUGAAGCAGGGUCGCUAGAUCUUGUGGAGCCAACGUUGAAAUACCACCCUGGUGUGUUUGAGGUUCUAACCUAGGCCCGUAAUCCGGGUUGGGGACAGUGCAUGGUAGGCAGUUUGACUGGGGCGGUCUCCUCCCAAAGUGUAACGGAGGAGUUCGAAGGUACGCUAGUUACGGUCGGACAUCGUGACGAUAGUGCAAUGGCAUAAGCGUGCUUAACUGCGAGACUGACAAGUCGAGCAGAUGCGAAAGCAGGACAUAGUGAUCCGGUGGUUCUGUAUGGAAGGGCCAUCGCUCAACGGAUAAAAGGUACUCUGGGAUAACAGGCUGAUACCGCCCAAGAGUUCAUAUCGACGGCGGUGUUUGGCACCUCGAUGUCGGCUCAUCUCAUCCUGGGGCUGUAGCCGGUCCCAAGGGUAUGGCUGUUCGCCAUUUAAAGAGGUACGUGAGCUGGGUUUAAAACGUCGUGAGACAGUUUGGUCCCUAUCUUCCGUGGGCGCUGCAGAUUUGAGGAAGCCUGCUCCUAGUACGAGAGGACCGGAGUGGACGCACCUCUGGUGUAUCGGUUGUCACGCCAGUGGCAUUGCCGAGUAGCUAUGUGCGGAAGAGAUAACCGCUGAAAGCAUCUAAGCGGGAAACUCGUUUCAAGAUGAGAUCUGCCGGGGCCUUGAGCCCCCUGAAGAGUCGUUCAAGACCAGGACGUUGAUAGGUCGGGUGUGGAAGCGCAGUAAUGCGUUAAGCUAACCGAUACUAAUUGCUCGUGCGGCUUGAUC
rnacentral:rRNA from 1 species